CCCAGACUCCUACGGGAGGCAGCAGUGGGGAAUAUUGCACAAUGGGGGAAACCCUGAUGCAGCGACGCCGCGUGGAGGAAGAAGGUCUUCGGAUUGUAAACUCCUGUUGUUGAGGAAGAUAAUGACGGUACUCAACAAGGAAGUGACGGCUAACUACGUGCCAGCAGCCGCGGUAAAACGUAGGUCACAAGCGUUGUCCGGAAUUACUGGGUGUAAAGGGAGCGCAGGCGGGAAGACAAGUUGGAAGUGAAAUCUAUGGGCUCAACCCAUAAACUGCUUUCAAAACUGUUUUUCUUGAGUAGUGCAGAGGUAGGCGGAAUUCCCGGUGUAGCGGUGGAAUGCGUAGAUAUCGGGAGGAACACCAGUGGCGAAGGCGGCCUACUGGGCACCAACUGACGCUGAGGCUCGAAAGUGUGGGUAGCAAACAGGAUUAGAUACCCUGGUAGUCCACACCGUAAACGAUGAUUACUAGGUGUUGGAGGAUUGACCCCUUCAGUGCCGCAGUUAACACAAUAAGUAAUCCACCUGGGGAGUACGACCGCAAGGUUGAAACUCAAAGGAAUUGACGGGGGCCCGCACAAGCAGUGGAGUAUGUGGUUUAAUUCGACGCAACGCGAAGAACCUUACCAAGUCUUGACAUCCCUUGACGAACAUAGAAAUAUGUUUUCUCUUCGGAGCAAGGAGACAGGUGGUGCAUGGUUGUCGUCAGCUCGUGUCGUGAGAUGUUGGGUUAAGUCCCGCAACGAGCGCAACCCUUACUGUCAGUUACUACGCAAGAGGACUCUGGCAGGACUGCCGUUGACAAAACGGAGGAAGGUGGGGAUGACGUCAAAUCAUCAUGCCCUUUAUGACUUGGGCUACACACGUACUACAAUGGCGUUAAACAAAGAGAAGCAAGACCGCGAGGUGGAGCAAAACUCAGAAACAACGUCCCAGUUCGGACUGCAGGCUGCAACUCGCCUGCACGAAGUCGGAAUUGCUAGUAAUCGUGGAUCAG
rnacentral:rRNA from 1 species